AUGGCAUUAAAGGCCUAACUGUUCAUUUGAUGCCCAUGUGUAAUUCCUUUUAGAGAAACUAAAAAUAAGCUUCCAACAGGCUUACUCACUCACAUACUCCAUUGUGUGGACAGACAGCAAACAGGGGCAGAGAGCUAAGCCUUGACCCACUUACCACCCUCAGAUGGUUCUGAUCAAUGUCUAAGAACCUAUUAAAACCUUACUAUUAGGGGAUUAAAGGAAAUAACAGAUUCAUCCUGGUUCCCCAGAGCUUUUGCCUUUUUUGGGACAAAAUGGGCAAGGUUUUUUGUUUUUUUUUUUUGUUUUUGUUUUUUUUUCCAGAUCUUUCCCUGAAGGUAUGCCAAUGAAAUUAUAUACUCUCAUCCUAUAAAAUGUAGUCAAACUUGAUACAGAAACUAGUUCAUGAAGAUCCACAGAAUUCCUAUAUUGUUACCUAAGAAUUACAUUUUAAAUUCAAAUAAUACAAGAACUAUUCUUUGUUCAUGCAGUAUAUUUGCUUGCCUACAAAAAUAAUCAGAGUUCCCUGAGCCCUUGUGUUUCAGCAGUUUACAAUAUUAAAUGGUCAACCCCCCUGAGUCCAGCUAUCCACAUUGCUUGCCCCCAUCCUUCCUCCAGGCCAUUCACCUGGUUCUCAGGCCUUCUCAGCUGUUCUUUCUGUUCUGCUUUUUGGCUAUCACACACUGUCUCCCUUCCUGUUUCUAAUGGGUAGAUAAUUUAUUGCUCUCCCCUUCUUGUUACACAGCCUCACUAUGUGAGCCCAUAGAUUCCUUUGUAGGUGGUAUUCCUGUUGUUGGACCUGUGGUCUCUCUGGCUGCAGGAAAGGGGUAUUGAUGAUACCUCUAGAAACCUAAGCCACAGUCCAGGCUCCAGCCCUGAGAUGCAGGGUCCAGCCUCAGUUUGGCCUCUCACCCACUUAAUAUAAAAACAAUUAUCCAGUGAAUGAGCAAAGCUAUUCUUGGACUUAGAAUAUUUCUACUGGGCUUUAAAACUUUCCACCUUUAUAUUGACACAGUCAAUAAGUUGCUCUUAUAUUAAGGCAACAUAAAUUUAUUUUUAGCAAAAUUAUGCUGAUGCUUGAUCAUUAGACCAAACUCACAAAAAUGAAAAAAUAAAUUAUAAGUAUUUAGAACUUAAUUAUUGGUUUCCAGUUUGAUACUGAGCUUAAGGACCUGAUAAAAGUGUCUUUACAUUUCCAUCAUUGACUGAUCUUUCUACAGACAAGUUUACUCUGUUUCUAUUCAAGCUCUGAUAAUCACUAAACCAAGAGGUUUACUUCACACCUUCUUUUAUUUUCCUUGCUUCCCUAUUGUACAAUAGCAAAAGCCUGGACCGGUGGGUACACCAGAGAUAUCUUGUCCCUAGCCCUUCCUUAAAUAUUUCAUAUCCUCAGGUACUGUUUGCCCUCACUUGCUUUUCUUUCUCUUUCUUUUUGCCCUCACUCAGUUGCUUUUCUUUUUUUUUCUUUCUUUUCUUAGUCUUUUUUUUUUUUUGGUAGUGGCAUGAUCACGGCACAGUGUAGCCUUGACCUCCUAGGCUCAGGAGAUCCUCCUGAGUAGCUGGGAUUACAGGCGCCUGCCACCACACCCGAAUAAUUUUUUGUAUUUUUAGUAGAAAUGGGGUUUCACCAUGUUGGUCAGGCUGGUCUCAAACUCUUGACCUAAGGUGAUCCACCAGUCUCGGGCUCCCAAAGUGCUGGGAUUACAGACAUGAGCUACCGCAGCUGGCCUGAAGUGUAUUUUCUAAAAUAAUCUAUAAGUUCUCCAUAUAAGAUCUUAUUAAAUACUUGAAUCAAUGACAAAACAAUAAAAUAAUUUGUUUCUGAUGCCUAAGAAAAAUAAAGCUUUGCUAAUAGUUACCAUAUUUGUAGAUACAUAGAAUUUCAAUUUAAAGGUUAUGGUAAUGGUUGAAUUUUUCAACGUAUUUCUUGAUGGAAUUUUUCCAUAUAUAAUCUGAUUUUUCUGAUGAAUUAUUUAAUCUGUUUCAAUGUGCU
rnacentral:lncRNA from 1 species